GGGGAUUUAGCUCAGUGGUGUAAGCGCCUGCCUGGCAAGCUCGAGGUCGUGAAUUCAAUCCCCG
rnacentral:tRNA from 1 species